CACCCAGCCACCCAGCCACUCACUCACCCAGCUACAGAGUAAAAGUCUCAGAAGCAUAAGUUUGGAGAGAUGGAGAUUGACUGCAGAGGACCUGGGUUCAAUUCCAACACCCACAUGGCAACUCAAAACCAUCUGUAACUACAGUCCCAGGAGAGACAAUGCCCUCCUCUGACCUCCACAGGCCCCAGGCCACCAAAUUCCCUUAUAAUCAAGACAAUCUCCACCCCCCAGCAAGAUCACCAGUCAACUUGAUCUUGAUCUCAUGAAGACUCUCUUCCCAGCUGGUACUAACUUGUGCCAAGCUCUCAUUUAAAACUGACCAUCAGGGCUGGAGAGAUGGCUCAGAGGCUAAGAGCACUGACUGCUCUUCAGGAGGUCCUGAGUUCAAUUCCCAGCAACCACAUGGUGGCUCACAACCAUCUGUAAUGAGAUCUGGUGCCCUCUCUGGUGUGCAGAUAUACAUGGAAGCAGAAUGUUGUAUACAUAAUAAAUAAAUAAAAUCUUUUUAAAAAAUGAAGAUGUCUAGGCGAUAUUGUGAAAAGUUCUCUAAGAUGUAUUAUUAAGUAAAGCAAUACAGUUUAAAGAAAUAAAUAAAACUGAC
rnacentral:lncRNA from 1 species